rnacentral:snRNA from 1 species
GUCUCGAGAUAAGAUUAGUUUG